rnacentral:lncRNA from 1 species
UGACUGACUCUUCAACUGGGGUAGAAACAUGUAUGGGGGCACCAAGUAUAUCACAAACCACAUCAAAUCCCAAGGCAAUUGAACUGACACAUACAAAUAAGUAGAACCUGGAUCAAACAAAACAAUAGCCAUUCGGGAACAUUCAAGAGUAGCUUUUGUGACCACUGCAUCACACACCUGAAACUCGAUCUUCCUGGAAAAGCAUAUAAUGAGCCUUGUCGUCUUGAAGGGCAACCUCCUUGCCUGGCUGCACUACUUCUCUACCUGCAUUACCACUUCCCCG